GAUGAAGAACGCAGCGAAAUGCGAUACUUGGUGUGAAUUGCAGAAUCCCGUGAACCAUCGAGUCUUUGAACGCAAGUUGCGCCCGAAGCCAUUAGGCCGAGGGCACGCCUGCCUGGGCGUCACACGUCGUUGCCCCCCCCAUCUACUCCUUCGGGAUUGCGGGGGGCGGAUGAUGGCCUCCCGUGCGCCUCGUCGCGCGGUUGGCCUAAAUGCCAAGUCCUCGGCGACGCACGCCACGACAAUCGGUGGUUGCGAAACCUCGGUUGCCUGUCGUGUGCGGUCGUCGCGCAUCGAGGGCUCGAAAAAAUUGCCGGGCUUCGGCUCGACUUUCAACGCGACCCCAGGUCAGGCGGGGUUACCCGCUGAAUUUAAGCAUAUCAAUAAGCGGAGGA
rnacentral:misc_RNA from 1 species